ensembl:lncRNA
GUAGACGCAUGCAGCUUCUUAAUCUGUGAUACUUUUAAUUGUAUUUGAUAACGUUUUACUGGAAUCAUGUCUGUCCAAUUGUUUUUUUGCUUAGACAGUAAAGGAAAUUCAUGAUUACAUGACAUUGCCCAUACAAGAUGAAUGUUUGAAUCUGACUGUGAAAUGCGUCAGACGAAGGAGAAGUGAAAUCUGCAAGAGAUUUGGCACUGUUACAGAUGCUUCCUCUUUAUCAGACCCAGGAAAACCUAAACAACAGUUAAACAACACAAGUGAACCGACUGACACAGACUCAGUGAAAAGUAAGCUGUUUAUAUUGUUAAUACGCAAUGCUGUUUAUAUACAUGUGUGUAUACUGACCAUCAAACAUCAAACACGGAUCAAAGUACCCAGCCAGGUGAUGUUUUUUUACCCCUUUCUGUUGGACGUUUCCAUGACAUCAGACAUCAUUCAUUACAUUAUCUAGUUGUGUGACCGUCAAGUGUCGAACAGUGAGAGAUUUCAUGUCAUAUUCAAUGACACCAUACAUGUAACUGAGGCUAUUUUUUGAGUUGAUAUAUACCCAUCAGCUGCGGUUAGUGUUGGUGUGCCGUUGGCGGUGGUGCUACUGCUGUUGGUGCCGUUGGCGGCGUUGGCGGUGUGGCUCUGUCGACGAAAAAAGAAACCGACGU